CGCGUUCAAAGAUCGAAACCUUAGAAGGGGAAACAAGGAGAAAGAAAAGGUCUCGGCCCUUUCCUAAACCCGAAUCUGACGGCGGCGAAGGACCGAUUCAGGUAUGUUUCUUUCUCCUUUCUUUACUUUAUUAAUAGUUUCCCUUUUUUGAACAAAUUUGUAAAUAAUAAUAAAAAUAAAUAAAUAAAAAUGAUGGAUAAAUAGAUUGGAAAAAAAAUAAAAAGAAAUAGGGCAUUAACCUCUGUUUUCUUUUAUUUUUGAUAUUCUAAAAGUGUCUGAACCCCUACAAAGAAAAAGCUUGUGGCUUUUAUAGCCAAAUUACAAACGCUUAGUCUCUAUUUCUUUUGUCGUUUUACUACUUGUUUCCUCUGUUCGUUGUUUUUUCUUUGUUUGUUUGCUUUUGCUUGUUGGCUUCUUGCAGGUGGUGUCAGAGAAGCGUGGAGGUCACGUGCGGCAGACAAGUGAGGCUAGCGAUUGGCGAGCGGCGGCGGUGGCGUGUGAUGCUGGGGCUUGCGGUGCUGGAGGUUAGGGGUUUUUUUUUGCUGAAAAUUUUUAAGUUUGUGAGCUUGUUUAGUUUUGGGCUUGUUGGGUUAGGGUUAAUUUGUAAUUGAGCUGCUUGGGUUUCUUGUAAAUGGACUGGGACUAUUA
rnacentral:lncRNA from 1 species